ACCAGGAUAUGCAAGUGGUUAAGGUGUUGAAUUUAAGAUCCAAUAGACAAUGUCCUUGUGGUUUCAAACCCCACUCCUGGUA
rnacentral:tRNA from 1 species